AGCGAACGUUAGCGGCGGGCUUAACACAUGCAAGUCGAGCGAGAAAGGGGCUUUGGCCCUGAGUACAGCGGCGGACGGGUGAAUAACACGUAGGUAACCUUCCUUCCAGCGGGGGACAACGGUCCGAAAGGACCGCUAAUACCGCAUACGUUCCCUGGGACCCUGGUCCCGGGGAGGAAAGCUCCGCAAGGGGCACUGGAUGAGGGGCCUGCGUAGCAUCAGCUAGUUGGUGGGGUAAUGGCCUACCAAGGCUAAGACGCUUAGCUGGUCUGAGAGGAUGAUCAGCCACACUGGGACUGAGACACGGCCCAGACUCCUACGGGAGGCAGCAGUGGGGAAUAUUGGACAAUGGGCGCAAGCCUGAUCCAGCCACGCCGCGUGAGUGAUGAAGGCCUCGGGUCGUAAGACUCUGUGGGAGGGACGGAAGUAGGCGCCGUCGGAAGAGACGGCGAGUGACGGUACGUCCUUAGUCAAGCACCGGUAACUUACGUGUCCAGCAGCCGCGGUAAC
rnacentral:rRNA from 1 species